UUCAAACUACCUUUUGGUCACGGUUUUUGUACCAUGAAGCGUGGUUAAGUAUCAUGUAUAAUGACCAUUUUACCCUCGGCUAUACCAUGUAUGCCGAGGACAUUUUUUUCAUUUACCACCAAAAAACAGAAAACCAAACUUGUAUACCAUUUCCAAAUAAGUGAUAUGACAAAAACAUCAAUUUACACUAGAAAGUAGAUAUUAAUGGUAAUAUAUGCUAAGAAAAAAGGAAUAGAUUGAAGAUUGAGAUGGAAGGUAAGGUCUACCUUUCUAUUUUGGUUAAAGAAGACACCAGCAUAGAGGUCUUCCAUUGGGGACUUAUCUAUAACAGCAUCUGCAUUCUUGAGAAGAUCUUCCUCCCAUUUUGAUAGUCCCAUUUUGAUAUUGAAAUGGUAAUUGAUAAAUUACUUCUUGGGAACCCCAUUUUGUAAAGGAGUAAUUAAGUUGGACACUCAAGGAAUUAGAUUCAAUUCAUCACUCUAGAGCAAUGUCAUUGAAUUAAUGUUAUUUAUUCUGUUCAAGGAUGUUUUUGUUUUUGGCUUGGGUUUUAUUCUAAAGGUCCUUUUGUCUUGAAUGCUCUUUGUCAGAUUUUUUUAUUUAUGUAUCACAACAUCCUUAUAAAAAAUGGUGUCUUCCCAACUUGAUUUAAAAAAAAAAAAAAAAAAAAAAAAAACA
rnacentral:lncRNA from 1 species